ensembl:lncRNA
AUCUUUCCCACACGUGUAGGAACUUGCCUCUGUCAGAACAAGGAGGCUGGCAUUAGAACCCUUGCUUUAUGACAGUGAGGCAUUGGGGUGUGCUCAGCAUCUGCUGGCCUAGGGCUUACAGGCUGUUGGUUCUGAAAUCCCAUCUGUUUGGGAGAGGCACACAACACUGUGGGGGCAGUGUCAGCCUCUGAAUUCAGUCUAGCCAAGGGCAGGUGUCCUGCCAGCUCUAGGGUCCUGGGGCUGCCAUGACAAGCAUCAUGGACUGAGUGACUUAAAAAUCAGAAACUGAUUUCCUCACGGUUCUGGAGGCUGGAAGUCCAAGAUCAAAGUGUCAGCAAGACCAGAAUUUCCGACAGUAGCCAAAGCUUUGUUUUGCUCUUCAGUUAUGUCACGAGUCUUAUUUGAACAAUGUCGCUUUAUUGAGAACUGAGGCUUUGCCCAGACGGACGCCACGUGCUCGGCACAAACAUCUUGUUUUUAAUGAGGAAAGUGUAGACUCAAUAUCCACAAGGAAAAGGAAGCUUUUGGUAUCUGACAUUCCUGCCAGUCCUUUGGGGGGCUUGAAAUGUGUAACAUCUGGGCACGAUAAACAAUAAUAAGGUCUAAUAAUGUUUUCAGUGCUCAGCAUCUUCUUAAUAACCUGUCUACAGACCUUUUAAAUGCCCUACACAAAUAAUAACACUAAAGUUUUGAAACCACAGGCAUCAUUAGCUUGCAUGUCCUGAGAACCACUCUGCGGCACACGUGAUGUGACGUUCCUGGCUGAGAGAAACAUUUAUCACAGCACAGGGGGAAAUGCCUAAUGAGUUACAUGGAAACAAGACGUCCCGACUCUUGAAUUUGGGAUUUGUGCUCCAUCUUGAUGCAGGCACUGUGGACUGAAUGGUUGUGAUGAUUAAGUUCCAACUUGAGCCAGUGGAACAAUGCAAAAAAUCCAGCACUCUAUUUGGCUAACUUUUCUUUUUACAUUUUAAAUACGUUUGGGUUUUUGCACAGCUUUUAAAAAUCCUAAAUACAACUCGCAAGAAUUCUACCAAUGCAGCAGCAAGACAAGGCCGUAAUUUAUUUGGGAAAUUGACCAAAACAAAAAUACAUUUCUGGAAAAGGUGAAGAAUGACUUUCCCUUUCUCUUUCUCCGUUUGCUGAGCAGUUCUGUGUGCUUGGCUCAGGCAGGAGAAACAAGCAUUGAUAAAUUAGGUGUGGCGAGCCCCCUCCUGCCAUGUUUGGAUGGAGGACCUGUGGCAUGCUUUCCUUUAAUUACCUGUCAUUUUCUUUCUCUCCUUGGGAACGUCGGGGAGCUGUCCAGAAAAAUAAUUGCUUCACAUGUAGGGUGGGUCAAGACCUUUUCCAAGCUCUCUAGAAAAAAGAAUAAAAUAUUACAUUCAAAUACCUGUCUUGCAAAUACUUGUAUAUUUGUACUUCCCAUAAUUCCACUGUGCAAACAAGCGAUGGGCCUGGGUCAGUCCGGUAUUACCUUCCAAGGCGGCGGUUGUUAUGAGGAAUAAAAGGUGGAAAUAUGUGGUCUCUUUCUCGAAGACACGGAAAGUAACAAAACAUUCCUAAUUUAAAGUUAGCCAGGAAUAUGAGACAGCAUUUGUGUUUAUAGGGGAAUUGAAAACUACAAAGAAUGUGGUCGUUGUUUCAGAGAAGAGAUAUACAGGGGGCUGACAUGCUCACGGUGGGUUUCCCCCGAAGGCCAGCUGUGUCUUUCUAAAUUGAAG